AAAAAGCAAACACAAACAUUAUUAUACCAUCCUUAAGUCUCCAUGCUAAUGCAAUUCCAUUGCAAACUGAUGAUGGAUUGCAAAAGGAAUGUUCAAAGCAAAAAGAGAAGUCUGUAGCUGAAGAACAAAACUGGGACAUGAUAGCAAAUCCACAGGAAGGAACAAACACACAAGAACCAAAUUUAUCAACACAUAACACAAGAAUUACAGCAUACUACUAGGCAAGAGCUUGCAAAAGACUUGGGGAAUAUAAAAAUCACCAAGCAAGAGUCAGUGCAAGACAUGAAUCACACAGAACCACUAUAUACAAUGACAUUUGACUCAGAAAGCUAAGAAGACCAAGAACCUUAUGAAUAUAUCAAACUUUACAAUCAAGGUCACAAAGCUUUACAAGAGUGGGAGACAGAUGAUUACAUUAAUAGCUCAAAUCAAGAACAAAGGAUUCUGUCAAAAGAAUUAGUUCAGGACAGUUGGGGGGAGGGGUAAGUGGGAGUGGCAGUUGGUCUUGUGACAGCACUCACUUCCUGUCCCUGGAACUGGAAGGAGCCUCUUUCCCUGUAUUUGGAUAGAAAUGCCUCUAUUCCUGAUUUUUCCCAACUGUGUGUUCUACCUGGAUUUCUGUGAUCAUAUUAGUGAACAAAAGGACUUAAGGGAAGCAGUUUGGACUGUAAGGUUGGUCUUUCGGGGCGUCAGCCUGAAGAGAUAAGGUCAACUAGUUUUGAAGAGUCAUCAAAAGCUCAGAGACAAGACAAAAGUCAGGAAGAUUGUCAAUGGUCUGAGGAGCAGUGGAUCGUCUUGGCUUCUUUGAUGGCUAACCAAGUUCUAGGCACUCCACACCACCUGCUUUAGCAAACUCUUUCAUGACUGUAAGAACAGAACAUUCUCAUUUGCCCAUUCUGCCAGGAAGAUGGAGAAAGGGACAAGAAUUGCAGUCCUAGACCUGAUUCUAGACAAUGAAGAGGACCUGGUCGGUGAAGUACAACAGACAAAAACCUUGCAAGGCAGUGAUUAUAUCAUCAAAGUCUUCAUAAUAGGGAGUCUCAGGCUUGAAUCUUUGGCUUGGAGCUUUGGCUGGUGACUUGCCUCUUGGAAGUGGCUUUGGACUUGGACCUUCGCUUCGACUUGGGACCUUGGCUCUUGGACUACUUCUAGGAGGACUGAUCCUGGAUCUUAUCUUUUGAACUUUGUCUUGGGUGAGUAAGUAGCUGGCCUUCCCUUCCUGGCUUCUGGAGAGAUUAGUUCUGGAGAGGCCUUCCUUUCCUGGAGGAGGCUGUAUAGGUGGAACCCAUACAUAAGACACCACCAGGUCCUCUGGCUAAGGGUUAACAAGCACUGCUGGGGCUGAGUUGGAUACCAGAGCAACAUUUAGUGUGAUAGGCUAGACAUUUUCUCUACCCUCUUCUUAUAUUCCUCUACUUUCACUCUUUCCACCUCUUUGUAAAUAAAUGCUACUAAAAGUCAUUUUGACUUGAGCUA
rnacentral:lncRNA from 1 species